UCCCUGGUGGCAUAGCAGUUAAGGAACCAGCAUUGUCACUGCUGUGGCUUGGGUUCGAUCCCUAGCCUGGGAA
rnacentral:tRNA from 1 species